AAAGUAGUGGGAAAAAGAUAGUUGAUCUAGCGAGCAUCGCUCACUGCGCCCAACUCCUAUUUUCCCUUCGCUUU
rnacentral:ncRNA from 1 species